CCUACGGGAGGCAGCAGUGAGGAAUAUUGGUCAAUGGGCGGGAGCCUGACCCAGCCAAGCCGCGUGAGGGAAGAAGGUUCAGCGUAUCGUAAACCUCUUUUGUCAGGGAACAAAGGCGGGGACUAGUCCACGGAUGAGGGUACCUGAAGAAACAGCAUCGGCUAACUCAGUGCCAGCAGCCGCGGUAAUACGGAGGAUGCGAGCGUUAUCCGGAUUUAGUGGGGUAAGGGGGUGCGCAGGCGGCCUGUUAAGUCAGCGGUAAAAGCCCGGGGCUCAACCCCGGCGAGCCGUUGAAACUGGCGGGCUGGAGUGGUAGAGAAGUACGCGGAAUGCGCGGUGUAGCGGUGAAAUGCGUAGAUAUCGCGCAGAACCCCGAUUGCGAAGGCAGCUUACCGGCUCCACACUGACGCUGAGGCACGAAAGCGUGGGUAGCGAACAGGAUUAGAUACCCCAGUAGUC
rnacentral:rRNA from 1 species